UUGCAAAUUGGCAUGUCCUAGCAAGCAGGGUCACCUUGCCUCACCUAGUCUUCUUGCCCAUGGCAUCCCAUGGCAAGAGACAACAUAUUUGUACCCAAAUGUGUAUUUAUAUAUUCUUGGAAUGUAAUGUAUCAUUCCCAAGACGUAUCCAUCCAAGCUCCCUUAUUCUUCCAACCUCUCUCGUGCCUUGCAACCAACCUAAUUACUUCUGCUGCAAAACGUUAUUGUAGUGCUCGACGCACUACCCCUUCCCGAAAGGCUUACUUGGCUAUAUGGAUGUUAUAAUUAGCCAAGUGUCGCAAGUAUAGUUAGCUUCAGACUCUAACCACGUGACAGUACACUACCAAGUGCAUCAAUUGAAGAUUUCUGCUUCUUCAAGGUAGUGUACGCUACCAAGUGCAUCAAUGCAUUUCGAUUGUGACAACAUAAAAAAAUGAAACAAUUUUUAUUUUACUGUCCUAAAUUUUGUCCCAUCAAUAGAAAAGAUACUUUCAAAAUGUUAAUUUGUCUCAUCUUUCAAUGAAAUGUUUUCAAGUCCAAAUUAAUCAUUGUUUCAAGAAUCUUCAAUUCAUAUCGAUGAGGAGUGAACUUCAAACCAACAAGACAUCAAAAUGAUCCUUGAGUACUCCACUUUGUGGCCGAACACCAAGCAACAUUGGUAUUCAAAUUCCACAAGAACAUCGCUGGAGGGUGUCGUCCACCUAUAGGUUGAGAAGUAAAGUGAAGAGUUUUCAUAGUUCCCUUGUCUUUUGUCCCUUUCUACACAAGUUGAAUCUCAGAAAUAUGUUUGUUAAUUGAGUCACUUAGUGGACUCUCCACUUGUCGAUUGCAUCUAAAAAACCAUUUUAUUCAUUGUCAUCCAAAUUUACCACGUAAUAAUCACUACCAUUUUCAGCUUCCUGAUAAACUCAAUAAAAGAGUCAAUACCAAUGAUGUUGAUAACUCCAACAAAACCUGCCACCUUCACAAAAAUGUAUUUGGUAACUUAACGCUUCCACAUUAGAUGUGUUGUUUCUUCGUGCUCCUUCCAAAAAACACACAUAAGAUCAAACUAGACUUCUUCUUUUUUUUUUUUUUUUAUAGAAUUUGAUUUAAUAGGAAAAAUGUCAUUUAUAACUUUUGAACAACAAAUUUUAGCCUUCCACAAGGAUUGCCACAAAAGUUUUGAAACAUUUCCUCCAUAUGAACUAGCAACAUUUAAAUUCACAAUAUUUAAACUAAAAAAUAAGCACUUUUAAUUAACUAUAAAUACUCCUAAUUUAUCACAAUCUCAUAUGAUCUCUUCAUCAUUAGGUUGUUGAGGCAGUUGUAUUUGAAGAAUAUUAUAGCAUCUAAAUCAUCAUCUCGAAGAAAAAGUCAACUAAAUCAACCCACCAUUCCAUCGUCUAUGGCUAGAGAAGAUGUGUCAAAUUUUGUCCUCGGAUAGAAUGUGUUGGCUUUGUAGCCCUUAAUUCUCAAAUUAAUGAAUGUUUUGAUGAUACAAACCUGAAUAUUUAUUGAAAAUUUUAUUAUUUUGAAUAGUCCAUAUCAUAGAAGUUGAAACAAUGUUUCUAAUGCCUCUUGAAUCACCCAAAUCGAAGGUCAAACGAACAAAAUAUUAUUAAAAAACUUUUUUAAAAAAAAUCUAAAAUGAUGAUGUGAU
rnacentral:lncRNA from 1 species